GAUGAACGCUGACAGAAUGCUUAACACAUGCAAGUCUACUUGAAUUUGGGUUUUUAACUUAGAUUUGGGUGGCGGACGGGUGAGUAACGCGUAAAGAACUUGCCUCACAGCUAGGGACAACAUUUAGAAAUGAAUGCUAAUACCUAAUAUUAUGAUAAUAGGGCAUCCUAUAAUUAUGAAAGCUAUAAGCGCUGUGAGAGAGCUUUGCGUCCCAUUAGCUAGUUGGAGAGGUAACGGCUCACCAAGGCGAUGAUGGGUAGCCGGCCUGAGAGGGUGAUCGGCCACAAGGGGACUGAGACACGGCCCUUACUCCUACGGGAGGCAGCAGUGGGGAAUAUUGGACAAUGGACCGAGAGUCUGAUCCAGCAAUUCUGUGUGCACGAUGAAGUUUUUCGGAAUGUAAAGUGCUUUCAGUUGGGAAGAAAGAAAUGACGGUACCAACAGAAGAAGUGACGGCUAAAUACGUGCCAGCAGCCGCGGUAAUACGUAUGUCACGAGCGUUAUCCGGAUUUAUUGGGCGUAAAGCGCGUCUAGGUGGUUAUAUAAGUCUGAUGUGAAAAUGCAGGGCUCAACUCUGUAUUGCGUCGGAAACUGUAUAACUAGAGUACUGGAGAGGUAAGCGGAACUACGAGUGGUAGAGGUGGAAUUCGUAGAUGUUUGUAGGAAUGCCUAUGGGGAGCCAGCUUACUGGACAGAUACUGACGCUGAAGCGCGGAAGCGUGGGUAGCAAACAGG
rnacentral:rRNA from 1 species